AGAAAAUGAAAGAACGGGAGUUCCCAUCGUGGCUCAGGGGUUAACAAAUCCAACUAGGAACCAUGAGGUUGCGGGUUCGAUCCUUGGCCUUGCUCAGUGGGUUAAGGAUCCGGUGUUGCCGUGAGCUGUGGUGUAGGUCACAGGCGCGGCUUGGAUCCUGCGUUGCUGUGGCUGUGGUGUAGGCCGGCGGCUACAGCUCUGAUUCAACCCCUAGCCUGGGAACCUCCAUAGGCCGCGGGUGUAGCCCUAGAAAAGACAAAAAAAAAAAAAAAAAAAAAAGAAAAGAAAAGAAAAUGAAUGAACGUGACCUGUCUCAGGGGUAGUAUAGGGUAAAGGCGACUUCCUGAUAUGCCUGCUUAACACACCUGGACACUUAGGAGGGUGGCAGGGCUACCUGGCUCUCGGGGACGGUUGACUCUCUCCCAGCCACCACACCCUCCUCAGUGCCUGAACAGGACAGGAGCUCUUGUCUAUUGUUUUUUUUUUUUUUUUUUUUUUUUUUUUUAGGGCUGCACCUGCGGCAUAUGGAGGCUCCCAAACUAGGGGUCCAGUCAGAGCUGCAGCUGCCGGCCUACAUCACGGCCACAGCAAUGCCAGAUCUGAGCCAAGUCUGCGACCUACACCACCACAGCUCGUGGCAAUGCUGGUCCUUAACCCACCGGGCGAGGCCGGGGAUCAAACCCACAUCCUCAUGGAGUUAGGUUUGUUACCAGUGAGCCACAGAGGGAACUCUCUCAGUGUGUUUAUCGAGUGAAUGGAAGAUCUGCACGCAAAGUGGCCUUCAUAGGAGUUCCCCGGUGGCCUAACGGUUAGGGAUUUGGUGUUGUCACUGCUGUAGUGCGGGUUCAAUCCCUGGUCUGGGAACUUCUGCAUGCCAUGGGCACAGCCAAAAAAGAAAGAUGGCCUUCAGAGAGGCAAGGGGGCCCCAUUCAAGGCAGUUCGACUGCCGCUCUUUUAGGGAAACUGGAUGAACCCAUUGGCAGUUCAAGGCCAGGUUGUCCUCUAGGCUUCUCAUGGCGUGUGGGAGAAAAGGUUGGUUAGAAAGAGAGAAACGUGGUGUCGGCUCUGGAAGUGCCAGUGACCAUGUCUGUUCUUUCUGGCUGAGAACAAUGGACAGGGAAUUCUCAUUGCUAAGAGAGGGGUGGCUGCCAACUAGGCCAGUAGUGACUCAGACAAGUCCCCCAGGAGAGACUAGAUCCCUCAGUUGGGCAGAGGGGCAGGAGAGCACCUGCUCUCCCUGGGAAGGAUGAGGGCGUCAGGGAGGCGGGGUGGAGGGCGCCCACCCUCGGGGCGUGGAGAGGUGCCCACGCCCAGGUGUGAUGGGAAAGUGGAGGCCAAGCUGUGAAGGGCCACACCAACCGCCCUGUACUUGACCCUGCUCAGAAAAUGAGAAGCAAGCAACAGCAUCAGGUCUGAACUUGAAGCAUAAAACUGGCAGCCGUAGGUGGUCCUACUGAUGGAGACAGAGAAAAGCCAGAGCAGGGUCCAACAGACUUGGCUCGAAAUGGAUGUUUAGUGAACCACUGAACGAACAGAGGGAGGGAAACAAACAAGGAGGAAAUUGUAUCCGUUCAAGCGAUGACUAAUGACCUGAGCCGGGCUGGGGGCAGAAGGAUCAGAAAGGGGAAAUAUGAGAGAAUGCGAAGGGGAAAGAGGUGAGACUGGGUAGGGUGGGGUGUGUCUCUCUGUGUGUGGGGGGGUGUUGGAGGGGAAGGCCUGAGAGAGGGAGACACACGCUAGUGGGUGGUGAUGCCAUUAAGGGCAGGACCCAUUUUGCUUGUGAAACUGUAACAUGAUGUCAUAUUUGGAUGUGUGGCAUUUCAGUCCUUAACCUCAGAGCCUUCUGCUGACGUCCAUGGUGAAAGUGUGAGGCUGAAGCUGAGUACAGAUUAGAGAUGGAAAGAGAGGAUUUAGGACUUAAGUAAAAAAUGGUAGCUUUAGUCUUAGGAUGGAUGAGCUUGGAGCUGGGGGAGUGUAGAGGAAAAGAGGGUUAUACAUGUAUUCCUGGGAGCACCUGUCUUUAAAGAGACAAGAGGAGGGAGGCCUCCUUGAAAGUCUGAGGGUUUUCAGCAUCGUCUUGGACCAGGAAAUAAUCUUUAUGAUAGAAGCUUCACGUGGGGCAUAAUGGAGCAGAGAGACAGACAGAACCAGGGUCCCUGAAGAUCGAGGGGCAUCUCUACCUAUUUUUUUGUGAGCAGAAGAUAAAUGUUUAUCUUUUAUUUUUUGUCUUUUUGUCCUUUUAAGGCUGCACCCACAUGCACCUGCGGCAUAUGGAAGUUCCCAGUCUAGGGGUCCAAUCAGAGCUAUAGCUGCCGGUCUACACCACAGCCAUAGCAAGGCAAGAUCCGAGCUGCAUCUGCAACCUACAUCACAGCUCACGGCAACGCUGGAUCCUUAACCCACUGAGCGAGGCCAUGGAUGGAACCUGCAUCCUCGUGGAUGCUAGUUGAGUUCUUUAACCACUUAGCCACGACGGGAACUCCUAAAUGUUUCCCUUUUAAAUUAUUAUUUGAACUUUUAUGUGUGGCUGUAUUUAGUCAUACCUGACAUGGUCCCUAGGUCCUGAUUCAGCCAGAUAGUGGGAAUCAAGGCAAAUGAAGGAAUCAGUGGGACUCAUGUCAUAGCAGCUGGGGUGUCCUCUCUCGUUUUGUCCCAACCGGAUUACAAGGCCUUCAGGGCAGUGAUAAAGACUUAUUUGUGCUGAUGUCACCAACUUUUGUCACAGCACUUGGCAUAUUAGAUACAUGGAAUAAAUGUUUAAUGUCAGUGCUAACGGCAGUACAGGAGCUGUCCUUUCUUUGCACCUGUUCAGUGCAUCACAGCUUCAUCUCGAUGAGCAGGGCAAGAUUUCAGAAACUCUUUGGAGUUCCUGUUGUGGCGCAGCGGAAACGAAUAUGACCAGGAACCAUGAGGUUGCAGGUUUGAUCCCUGGCCUCGCUCUGCAGGUGGAGGAUCCAGCGUUGCCGUGAGCUGUGGUGUAGGUUGCAGACGCAGCUCGGAUCUGGCGUUGCUGUGGCUGUGGUGUAGGCCAAUGGCUAUGAUUUGAUUGGACCCCUAGCCUGGGAACCUCCAUAUGCCGCAGGUGUGGC
rnacentral:lncRNA from 1 species